rnacentral:lncRNA from 1 species
GCGAUUGGCGGAAAAGGACGAGGCAUUUUUGUGCUUUACCAUUAAUUAUAUAUUAAGAUUAUGGUCCUUUGUAUUCACCUUGCGAUUUAUAUUUUGAAUAACUAGUGUUCUAAUGCUGUCUAUCUGAGUCUUGUAGUUGUAAAAUUGUAUGGUAUUGUUAGCUUAAAUUUUUAUUUUUGUAAAGAUGAACCAAUAUUUCUACAUUUUUCCUUGCUUUUUAACAAGAUAGAGAAACAUGUAGACAAGCAAAAUAGAAAUAGAAAUACGUGAUGAUUAGUUCUUCAGUAUUAGGAUAAGGCCAGAUUUCCUAUGGUUGUAUUCUUAACUCUGUCCAUUUGCAUAAAAAUUAUUGAUUGUUGCUGUAAAUUACAUGUAGGAAUCAAUAGGGAAACGGCAGUAUAUAGCUAAAAGGUAUUCAGUCAUAACCAAGGAGAAAUUAUUCGGAUUAUGGCCACAUCAAGCGGUGCCACGACCCCUGAGGUCCGUCCUGCGGCAAAGGCCAACAAACCUGUGCGUGUAUUCUGCCGAGAUAAAGUAUUAAUAUGCACACACUAAAGCCCUGACGACUGACCGCUAGCCAUGCUUGGAUCGGUUGGACUCUAUAGGACCUAAUAGACAAUUUGCAGGUGAAAAUAUUCUCAGAUACAGAGAUUUUUGCCAAAAAAAAUGUGGUCAUUGUUUUCUGGAAAACAGGCCUGCGUUUUUUCAGUACGGGACUCUUGAAAUGGUACUAGUAUGAUGUCCAAAAACUUUAUAAAUCUGUCCUUUGGAAGUUGCUCAGUGACAGUCGGUCAAUGUUUUCCAGAAAACACCUACUACGUUCUUUUGUGCAAAAAUCACCAUGUCUGCGAAUAUUUUUGCCUGCAAAUAAUUAAUUAUGUCCUAUAGAUUCCAUUGAAACAUGAAAACCUUUAAAUAUUUGGUUAAGUUUGACAAAAGAGGUGUAACCUAAGAUGAUCCAAUCCUGGUCAGCAGUCAGUGGUCAGGGUUUUAUUGUGUGCCACAUUAAUACAUUCCUUAUUUGACGAUAGAUUUACCUGGAGAGACUACAAGCUUUAUCUUGCAAGGAACAAUGGCCACAGUAUUGUUUGAAGCACCAAUGUACAGCUUUGAUAAUCAGCUGUGGAUUGCUCUUCACCAUGUGCAAAUUAUUUUUAGCCUGAUAGUGUUUAAUGUAUUCUUUUUGGCCAUGUAGUAGUUUCUUUUUAUCUUUGCAGCACUACUUGGAUUAAUUGCCAUGACUACGUGUGCCCUUUGAGCAAUGCCCAGAAGGAGGGUUGAUGUGGGGCUCCACCCACCAGCACCUCAUAGCAAACACUUUUCCUCGAAUGCAAGUUAGAUGCAGUUAAAUGCCAGCGGCUGUUUGCUCUGCCACCUGGACUACCUAACCAUAUAGUAUCCCAUUAAAUCCUGCCAUUUGGCACACCCCUCAUGUGUCUGAAAAAUGCACUUAAUCAAAAAGAAAUUGUUGUGGGGGAUUCACAAUGCAGAAGUUGCAGGUUAUGCCUAGAAAGGAUUCUGAACAAGACACCCAAUGCAGACACAAAAAUGUAGUGCAAAAUGAGAACUGGUUGGGUCAUGCUAGAUCCGCUGCCGCGUCCGUGCUCAUUGGACAGCGGGCUCCCCUCGUUCCCGGCGCGCUGACACAGAGCUUGUGUACUUAAGCCGCAGAGCCGCCUGCGAGAUCAGCAAUCCCCGAUCCUCCAGCAGAGCAAGACCACAGCAGCCCAGGACUUCCCAGUCCUUAGGCGACUGGGGAGCCUACCGGCUCCCCCAUAGAUCUCCAACUUCAUCCUCUAUCACCCAGCCAUGCCUGUGGGCACUCACACCCACACAGUCAUUCCCUAAAGAGAUAAGACACCAGACAAGAUAGUAAAUGCCCCCAUAACCAUCUACUAAGAACAAUCCUUAGACUUACAUUAAUGCUGCAUUGCUGGGGAUGGCUUUAUUUCCCAUUUUUACCAUUAGUUUCUAUUUCCUCCAAUUAUUUUCACAGUAUAAUUGAUGCAUUUGUUAUGUCCACACAUUCUUUUGAUAUUUUCUUGGGGAAAAAACAUCUCAUCUCAUUUGCUUAGUUGACUUCAAUAGUGGGGAUAUAAUUGUUGUUAAAUCUUUUCAGAAUGUAUAUGCUGUAAAUAAAUUUUCUUCUCUUUUCAAGUUUUUUUUUUUUUUUUUUUCAGAUACUUAUUUUUUUAUACAUCCAUACAGCUUCAUAUAACUUCUCUCAGUAUAAAAUAAAUUAUUUUAAAAAUGUAGAAAAGGUGUGAAUGAGAAUGAAUUUCUUCACAGUACAAGAGAUGUAUUUAACUGUUUUCAAAUAUAUCUUUGCCAGAAAUACAUGUAUUUCUGAAGAAGAUAUAUUCUAAAUAGGGUAAAUACAUCUCUUGUAUUAUGAAGAUAUUCAAUCUCAUUCAUACCAUUUCUACACUGUCAGCAUAAAUACAGUUCAAUGAAAGAAACGUUUGAUAAACAUGAAACAUGAGACUUUGACGGUGGUAUAGUACAUUCAUCUGUAAAAUUAUCUAAAAAUGACCUUUUGACUAAACACUUAGAAAAGUAGAUUUACCCCUCUUUUCUGGCUUCUAUUAAUGAACACUAGUUUUCUCUAUAGUAGGCCUAUGCAUAAAGCUAAUUUCAACAUAGCUUUCAGGUAUCUGAUCAGGUAUGUGUAUUUGUGAGUUUGAUUUUUCUAUAUUCAUACUUAGUAAACUAAUGUACAAAAACAGAUUCUUUUAAUUGAACCGUUCAUGCAAUAUGCUUUAUGGUUAUAAGUAUACUUUUGAACUGACUUACUUCAUAAAUUGUUAAUCACAAGAGGAAAAAAUAGUGGCAUCCCUCAUUUAUUUUUGCAAGUUUGAAUUUGUUUGUAUUGGAUCUGCAAGAUUGCUCUGAUCCAUUUUUAAAUUCUCCUCGGAAUUCUUAAUUAGUAAAUGUUGCAGUUGUUAGAAAUUAUUAUGGUAACCUUUUUUUCAUCACAAUCCAGAUUUCUGCAUGGUUCAAGCAAGAGGAGUUUACUGUUAUCUUUUUCUGUGUUUUUUUUUUUUUUUCAUGAGCCAAGCUUUUCUGUAUUAAGCAGGAAGACUGUGAGACCAACCCAAUCCCCUUCCCCCUUCUCUUCACAGAGUUUGGCAACAUAA